rnacentral:misc_RNA from 1 species
UUUCCGUAGGUGAACCUGCGGAAGGAUCAUUCAUAAUAAAGUAUUUUAUGGCACUUUUUAAAAAUCCAUAUCCACCUUGUGUGCAAUGUUAGAUCUCGUCAAUCUUGGCGAGAUUUUUAUACAUCAACUCAUUCUUUAACUGAUUUGUCUGAAAAAUAUUAUGAAUACUUAAUUCAAAAUACAACUUUCAACAACGGAUCUCUUGGCUCUC